rnacentral:rRNA from 1 species
CCUGAACAAACCCGAAAGAUCGAAUGGGGAGAUUCAUCGUCAGCGCAUUUGGUAUAUGUGCAGAUUAUGAUGUAAGUUAUCCUUGUGAUAAUGCUUGCACGUGUCUGUAUCAUUUAAUUGCCGAAUGUCGUCGGCGUGCACUUCUCCCCUAGUAGGACGUCGCGACCCGUUGGGUGUCGGUCUACGGCCCGGAUGGUAGCCUUCGAAGUCACCGCAAGGUGUUAUUUUGAAGACCACCGGUGUUUUCUGGCCGGCUGCCCGGCGGUAUUCGUACGGUAUUAAGCCGCAAUUAACAUCUGCGUCAAACCCGCCGCAAGCGAGGUCAAUGCUCCGGUAGUUAUGGACUUAGUGCCGUCGCUGGGCUUGACAAGCUGUUGGUCGUGCGGUGUUCUAUGACUGGCUUGUUCAUUAUAUAUUGAUUACCGGUCGGCGACGAUAUUGCU